rnacentral:rRNA from 1 species
CUCCUUACAACGGAAUAACCCGGCGAAAGUCGGACUAAUACCGUAUGAUUAAUCCUAUGCAGGCAUCUAACUAGGAUUAAAGGUUUAGCGGUAAGGGAUGGGGAUGCGUCUGAUUAGGCAGUUGGCGGGGUAACGGCCCACCAAACCGACGAUCAGUAGGGGUUCUGAGAGGAAGGUCCCCCACAUUGGAACUGAGACACGGUCCAAACUCCUACGGGAGGCAGCAGAG